AAAAUGAGGUGGCAGAAGAGGGGGAUAUACAACAUGUGCCACUGAAGAGCUUUGAUACGAAUGAUCAAGAGGUUUUCAAGCAGAUGGAGGAUUCUCUUCUUAGAAGUAUAAUUCUGUCAGAUUUGGAGUGUCCGCUCUGUAUAAGGUUGUUUUAUGAGCCGGUCACGACUCCCUGUGGUCAUACAUUCUGUAAAAACUGCAUUGAGCGAAGCUUGGACCAUAAUGUGCGCUGCCCACUUUGUAAACAGAACCUC